rnacentral:misc_RNA from 1 species
GAUGAAGAACGUAGCGAAAUGCGAUAAGUAAUGUGAAUUGCAGAAUUCAGUGAAUCAUCGAAUCUUUGAACGUACAUUGCGCCCUUUGGCAUUCCGAAGGGCACACCUGUCCGAGCGCCGUCGCACAACUGAGGCGCAGCCUUGCGUUGGCGGGCGACUUGUGAGUAGCGAGUCGCCGCCCAAACGAGACGGCGCCGCGCCGCGGCCGACGAAGCACGAAAGCGGAAGUCGACGCGGAGGCGGUUGCCUGUAGGAAGACACAGCUUGGCCUCGGAUCAGGUGGGGAUACCCGCUGAACUUAAGCAUAUCAAUAAGCGGAGGA